rnacentral:lncRNA from 1 species
AGGCAUUUAAAUGUAAGGAAAAGCCUGAGAAAUGAUGUCAACGAGGAGCAAAGAAUAAACAUAGUGAGAGGUUCAUGCAACAGCAACAGAAUUAAAAUUUUAAAGCAGAAAAUACACCAAGUUGAGACCUGAGAUGUUAAAGGCCCACUUCACUGCAUGAUAAUCUUAUUGUAGGAGUUACAUAGCCAUACAAAAUUAAAGCUAAGAAAACCGGAGGAUAAAUAUCCAGAGAUAACAUAACUUGAACUCCUAAACUUACAAAUAUAUGAACUACAAUAGCUUAAUACUAUUACUGCCGAUCCAGUCCACAGUGGGGAACGUAAUAAUCCCAGCGCCAUUCUAUCAACUAAACCCACAUACUCCAACAAAAACCAAAAUACUCAACUUCUCUUAUUUGGAAUAAUAUAUCAAGGUUUACUCUUAGCAUUCAAUUUAAAAUAGUUUGGGUCAUUUCACAUAUGCACCAUUUAUGUUGUGACUGAAAACUGUGAAGGAAUCAACAGUGACAGUAAUUGAAGAAACAAUCCAAACAAAGUUGCGUCUCUCGUGUACUAGAGGCAACAAAAGCAGUAUGUUUUUUCAUAAUUUAAAAGAAAAACAAACCUAAUAUUUAGGCCUUUGGCACAGGUUUCUUCGUAGGUCCGAACCAUCUCUUCAGGAGUGGGUUUUGGGUCCUUCGGAAAUUCCAUGGUAAUGAGCCAGUGGUUAUAAUCACAGCCCUCGAAUAGUAUUGUAUCGGGCCCUAUCUUGUCAUCUUCGUUAUUACUCCCAAAUGAUGACCGGGAAUAGGAAGCCACUGACGACGAUCUCACUGGCCAAUAUGGUGGGAUCAUAGCCGGAGACUUAGAUAGUGAAGGAGUCGAAGGACAGAAAAUAGAAUGACUAGUCUGACCAGAUACUGCCGUAUAGCGGUUGAAAGCAGAAAGAACAGACAAAGUGCGGCGGAGACGAAGUGAAUGAAGUGCCAUGGUUGGUGCGAGACUGUAAUCGAAAUGGACAAGAAAGAAGACAGGUCGUUAUUACACAUUUCUGCUUAUUUUUUCAGUGGAAAAGAAAGACCAAAAAAACAAGAGAAAAUUACCAACUACAAAGCACAGAGAUACGAAGAAGAUGAUUCCGGUGGGGCGUCAGGAGUGGCGGUAGGUCGUGGGAGGGAAUAAGAAGGGAUGGAGAGGACGAACGAAGAAGAAGAUGAUUCCAAUGGGGAGACGGGCGAGAAAAGAAGAAAUCCAAGUCUAGGGUUUGGGGUUUUAGUAGAAAGGGGUUUUUGAUGGAAAUUUUGCGUCAAAUUAUGAUUUAUUUUCUUCCAUUUCUUCUCACACUAACUUCUUAGCUCAUUUUUUAGUGUUUUUAUAUACAAGUGAUUGAAGAUCGGUUUCGAAUGAUCGUCAAAAGUUUCAAAUCAGUGUUAGGGAGAGGACGAGUAAGUAUAGUUUAGUAUUUUUGAGUAAUCUACCGGUUCUGAAAGAUUAACUAACAAAUGCUCAUAAAUUAGGAACGAAGAUAAAAAAUCAUAUCAGUACUAUCAACCAACAUAUUUCAUAAAGCUAUUUUUUAAAAGAAUAUUUUAAGUGAUUAUCAAAUAUUAAACGCUAUUUUUUAAAAUGAUUUUUCUUAAACAAAACUCGAAAGUUAAGCUAAACACACGUAUUAGUCUAGGUAGUUCUUGAAAUUUAAUAAAUAUCAAUUUAGUCUUUUCUAGUUUAACAUUUAUAACAACUUAAUUCUUAAAGUGAAAAAAAAAUAUAUUGCACAAUUGACAAACAAAUUAUGAAUCAAAACCAUUUAUAAAUAAUAAAGAUGAACUCGUAUCAUAAUAAAAUUUGAAAAUUAAGUUAAAUUGGGAAGUAUAAGAAAAUUGUUGCAAUUUUAGGUUUGGAGACCCCAUUGUCACAAACUUUAAAAUUUUUCACCCAUUUCACUCGAUCAAUUAACAUAAGUUACUAAAAACAACGGUUAGUUUAACUAAAUUUUGAACUUGCACUAAUUCUUAAAUAUGUGGUCAUUGAUGUAUGAGCAUGCCAAUAAUUGUCAUCCAAGUGAGCCAACUGUUAAUAAUUGUUGUCGAAGUGAGCCAAUUGUUAUUGCCGAUAAUGGUUGUUGUUAGCGAAGAUCAUUGAAGAAGUUUGGUUUGAGGGUUUUCUGCAUGAAAUGGUUUAUUUAUGAACUAAAUGUACGAUAGUUUUUUAUUUUCUAAAACAAUGAAAAAAGUCCCUUAAUUUUAAUUAUCAAUUUCUUUUUUAAACAAUUCAUUGUCAAUCACUCAAUUUUCAAGUAUUCAUAGUUAAAAUUAUUAUUGAUUCCAAACUAAUUGUUUUUUUUAUCAAUGUAUCGUUCAACUAACGAAUCAAUUAAAUUUAUAUAAAAGACAUCUUAUUCUCGAGUAUACCAUUACUAUACAACUAACCAAUUAAACAACUCUUAACCGACCAAGUUAUCGAAGACAUUGAAGAAAUAGUAGUUUGAUACGCCAAGUUGUAAAAUAUGCUACGAUAGUAAAAAUCACUAAUUAAAAGAUAGUUUAGGUCAAUGAUUAGAAGAAAGUUAAAAUGUAAUCAAACAUAAUUUAAUAAAAUGCUAAUAUAGUUUUAAUAGUAAAUCAUAAGUAUAAAAUUUUAUCAAACCAUAAAGAUUAUAGUUUACCUUUAUCAAGCUUAACGACCAAAUUUCUAAUUUAAUGUAAUCCAAAAUCCAUGUUUGAAUUGAGCAUUUUCGACUUGAAUUGUAAUAUUAAUCUUAUUUCAUUUAUAUCAUUUUUAUUUUUUAUGCUUUAAUUUUGUUCUUGUCCCCGAUCCAACACAUAUUUGAUCACUUUUUUAUUUCUAGUAAUCCUGUUUACAUUCUAGCUCCUCGAACUCCUCGAACACCCCUUGAUUGUUUUCUUACAAGAAACAUGCUAGAAUGGAAUGGUUAUAACUUACCUGCACCCUUUAAUGGUAGUUUCCUUGAUGGGAAGCCAAUGGAAGUUUGAUGGUAAGGCAUUGGACCUCUUCCUUCAGAAGCAUUGCUAUUCAUAUGUGAAGGAUCUCUCCUUUCUCUACGACCUGGGGGACCGUGAUUUUGAGGUGAACCUCGUGGCGAAUAGUUUUGUGAAGCUAUGAAAUGGCGUCCAUCUCCUUGUGUAGAACCCUGUUGGGAGAAGGAUGGAUUACCUUGCCUAUUCGACGAUGAUCUAGAUACCCUCUCAUAUAUUGGUUGAUCAGGAUUUCUUGUCUGAUGUUUUCUCUCCUGCCCUCCACCAGAUUGAAUGGGUGGUCGUCUUGGUAUAAUGACUCCAUUUAUAUAUUUGUCUCCUGAUUAUUACAAAAUAAAGUUGUAAACUUAGAAGAAUCAAAGCGAAAUUUCAUCAUGAGGAUACAUGAUAGAAGCAAAUUUAGUCAUUGUCAAUUUGGACAGUUGCAUACCUCCAUACUCCUUGUUUACAAGAUCAAUAUAAGAAUCAGGCAAUAUAAACACAACACCAGGUAGACCUAGUAAAGGAAAUAUUUAAAAUCAGAAUUGAACAUGGCAUCUGAAAGGUGUAAUUAGAUGUCAUCAAACAACUACCCCGAAAUUUCUCUGAUUCUUCCUUUGUCAUCACAGCUUGAAACCCCUUGUACGUUGUAGUACUACAAGCGUACAUCUUCUGUUUUGCUUCUUCCACACUGUUCAUGGUUUGGGGAAAGAAGAAUGUUAGACAAAAGCAUAACUCUAUCAAAAUUAAUCAUCAUCUCAAGAUACUAGACUAGAGCUGCAGCAGCUUCAAGUCAUUUAAAUGCAAGGAAAAAGGUGAGAAAUAGUAUGAACAUAGUAAAGAUUAGGCAUUGUAAGAGGAUCAUCAUGCAACAGCAACAGCAAUAAACAAACAAACAAAGGAAGAGAAAUGGAAACUCCACUUCUCUUAUUUGGAAUAAUAUAUCAAGGUAUACUCGUUAAUAUUCAAUUUAAAAUAGUGGGGAAGUCAUUUCAUAUCUGUAGCAUUUGUGUUGUGACUGAAAACUGCUUAGGAACAAUAUUAGUCAUCCCAAAAUACUGUGGGGAAUGCCAUAUAGACAAAUCACCUAUCAACAUGUAGUGAAUGAAGGCUUCAAAAACAAAACAUAAGUUAUGCAUAGCAACACCUAGAGUCAGAAUAAAGAAACGAGAAAACAAAAUCCAAAUCAGAAUAUUCAACAUUGAAAAGGGUUCCAAUAGAAGAACAGAAUACUGACUAACACAAGUAGUUGAAGAAACAAUUCUAACAAAGUUGCGGCUCUCAUGUAAUAGAGAGUAUGGAAGCAACAGAGGCAGAAUGUAAGUUUACUUCUAAAAAUAAUUCAAAAAGUUUUUUUUCAUAAGUUAAAAAAAUCAAACCUAAUAUUUAGGCCUUUGGCACAGGUUUCUUCGUAGGCACAAACCAUCUCCUCGGGAGUGGGUUUUGGGUCCUUGGGAAAUUCCAUGAUGAUGAGCCAGUGGUUGUAAUCGGCGCCCUCCAAUGCUAAUGUGUCGGACCCCACCUUGUCAUCUUUGUUGUUGGACCCAAAUGAUGAUUGGG